rnacentral:rRNA from 1 species
GACGAACGCUGGCGGCGCGCCUAACACAUGCAAGUCGAACGAGAGAUGAGGAGCUUGCUCUUCAAAUCGAGUGGCGAACGGGUGAGUAACGCGUGAGGAACCUGCCUCAAAGAGGGGGACAACAGUUGGAAACGACUGCUAAUACCGCAUAAGCCCACGGCUCGGCAUCGAGCAGAGGGAAAAGGAGCAAUCCGCUUUGGGAUGGCCUCGCGUCCGAUUAGCUGGUUGGUGAGGUAACGGCCCACCAAGGCGACGAUCGGUAGCCGGACUGAGAGGUUGAACGGCCACAUUGGGACUGAGACACGGCCCAGACUCCUACGGGAGGCAGCAGUGGGGAAUAUUGCACAAUGGGGGAAACCCUGAUGCAGCGACGCCGCGUGGAGGAAGAAGGUCUUCGGAUUGUAAACUCCUGUUGUUGAGGAAGAUAAUGGCGGUACUCAACAAGGAAGUGACGGCUAACUACGUGCCAGCAGCCGCGGUAAAACGUAGGUCACAAGCGUUGUCCGGUAUUACUGGGUGUAAAGGGAGCGCAGGCGGGAGAACAAGUUGGAAGUGAAAUCCAUGGGCUCAACCCAUGAACUGCUUUCAAAACUGUUUUUCUUGAGUAGUGCAGAGGUAGGCGGAAUUCCCGGUGUAGCGGUGGAA